GAGGAGCUUGCUCUUCAAAUCGAGUGGCGAACGGGUGAGUAACGCGUGAGGAACCUGCCUCAAAGAGGGGGACAACAGUUGGAAACGACUGCUAAUACCGCAUAAGCCCACGGCUCGGCAUCGAGCAGAGGGAAAAGGAGCAAUCCGCUUUGAGAUGGCCUCGCGUCCGAUUAGCUAGUUGGUGAGGUAACGGCCCACCAAGGCGACGAUCGGUAGCCGGACUGAGAGGUUGAACGGCCACAUUGGGACUGAGACACGGCCCAGACUCCUACGGGAGGCAGCAGUGGGGAAUAUUGCACAGUGGGGGAAACCCUGAUGCAGCGAAGCCGCGUGGAGGAAGAAGGUCUUCGGAUUGUAAACUCCUGUUGUUGAGGAAGAUAAUGACGGUACUCAACAAGGAAGUGACGGCUAACUACGUGCCAGCAGCCGCGGUAAAACGUAGGUCACAAGCGUUGUCCGGAAUUACUGGGUGUAAAGGGAGCGCAGGCGGGAGAACAAGUUGGAAGUGAAAUCCAUGGGCUCAACCCAUGAACUGCUUUCAAAACUGUUUUUCUUGAGUAGUGCAGAGGUAGGCGGAAUUCCCGGUGUAGCGGUGGAAUGCGUAGAUAUCGGGAGGAACACCAGUGGCGAAGGCGGCCUACUGGGCACCAACUGACGCUGAGGCUCGAAAGUGUGGGUAGCAAACAGGAUUAGAUACCCUGGUAGUCCACACCGUAAACGAUGAUUACUAGGUGUUGGAGGAUUGACCCCUUCAGUGCCGCAGUUAACACAAUAAGUAAUCCACCUGGGGAGUACGACCGCAAGG
rnacentral:rRNA from 1 species